CGCGUGAGCGAAGAAGGCCUUCGGGUCGUAAAGCUCUGUUGUUAAAGAAAAACAUGGGUGAAAGUAACUGUUCACCCCUUGACGGUAUCUAACCAGAAAGCCACGGUUAACUACGUGCCAGCAGCCGCG
rnacentral:rRNA from 1 species